rnacentral:rRNA from 1 species
GACGAACGCUGGCGGCGUGCUUAACACAUGCAAGUCGAACGGGCCUGUCUUCUUUUUUGGGGGUGGGUUGAGUGGCGAACGGGUGAGUAUCACGUGAGUAACCUGCCCUUCGGUCCUGGAUAACCGCUUGAAAGGGCGGCUAAUACGGGGUGGUCCGGUUGGUCCGCAUGGGCUGGUCGGGAUAGAUUCACUGUUUUUGGUGUUUCGGCGGGGGAUGGGCUCGCGGCCUAUCAGCUUGUUGGUGGGGUGAUGGCCUACCAAGGCGGUGACGGGUAGCCGGCCUGAGGGGGUGGGCGGACAGACUGGGACUGAGAUACGGCCCAGACUCCUGCGGGAGGCAGCAGUGGGGGGUAUUGCACAAUGGGCGGAAGCCUGAUGCAGCGACGUCGCGUGAGGGAUGGAGGCCUUCGGGUUGUGAACCUCUGUUUCCGGUGGUGAAGGCCCUGUCCGUGUGGUGGGGUUGACGGUAGCCGGGGAUGAAGCGCCGGCUAACUACGUG